ACCCCGCACAAGCAGCGGAGCGUGUGGUUUAAUUCGAGGCUACACGAAGAACCUUACCAGGGUUUGACAUGCAAGUGGUAGGAAUCCGAAAGGUGACCGACCCUUCGGGGAGCUUGCACAGGUGCUGCAUGGCUGUCGUCAGCUCGUGCCGUGAGGUGUCCGGUUAAGUCCGGUAACGAGCGCAACCCUCGCCAUAUGUUACAAGUGUCAUAUGGGACUGCCGAUAUAAAGUCGGAGGAAGGUGGGGAUGACGUCAAGUCAGCAUGGCCUUUAUGUCCGGGGCUACACACACGCUACAAUGGCCGGUACAAUAGGUAGCAAGACCGCGAGGUGGAGCCAAUCCUUAAAGCCGGUCUCAGUUCAGAUUGCAGGCUGCAACCCGCCUGCAUGGAGUCGGAGUUGCUAGUAACCGCGCGUCAGCAAUAGUCGCGGUCGAAUACGUUCCGGGCCUU
rnacentral:rRNA from 1 species